rnacentral:rRNA from 1 species
UGGGGAAUCUUGCGCAAUGGGCGAAAGCCUGACGCAGCAACGCCGCGUGGGGGAUGAAUGCCUUCGGGUUGUAAACCCCUUUCAGCAGGGACGAAAUUGACGGUACCUGCAGAAGAAGCCCCGGCCAACUACGUGCCAGCAGCCGCGGUAAUACGUAGGGGGCAAGCGUUGUCCGGAUUCAUUGGGCGUAAAGGGCGCGUAGGCGGCUUAGAAAGUCGGAUGUGAAAGCUCCAGGCUCAACCUGGAGAUGCCACCCGAUACUUCUAUGGCUAGAGUCCGGUAGGGGACCACGGAAUUCCUGGUGUAGCGGUGAAAUGCGCAGAUAUCAGGAGGAACACCGGUGGCGAAGGCGGUGGUCUGGGCCGGAACUGACGCUGAGGCGCGAAAGCGUGGGUAGCGAACAG